CUUAACAACACUUGUGAUUCAAUUCUAAUUUUACCAGUACAGGUUGGAUAACUACUUGACUAACCUAAUCUUUCUCCUUCUGUCUGCAGUCUUGAAGCAACACCAUCAUUUGGAGCUGAGUCUGAUCGCCCUUCGUGUUGAAUAUACUUGUGGGUACAGUAUUUGGUAGUGUUUGAAUAAAUGUUCUAAUGAAGAUACACAUAUUGUUA